UACGAAGGGUGCAAACGUUGCUCGGAAUUAUUGGGCGUAAAGCGCACGUAGGCGGCUUGGCGAGUCGGAUGUGAAAUCCCUCGGCUCAACCAAGGAAGUGCAUCCGAAACUGCUGAGCCUGAGUACUUAAGAGGAUCGCGGAAUUCCCGGUGUAGAGGUGAAAUUCGUAGAUAUCGGGAGGAACACCAGUGGCGAAGGCGGCGAUCUGGGAAGAUACUGACGCUGAGGUGCGAAAGCGUGGGGAGCAAACAGG
rnacentral:rRNA from 1 species